AGUUGUUGUAAGCAUGUAGCCGAGCCAAGUUAUAGAUUACUUUUGAAUUCCUCAUUGAAAAACUAGUGAAACGAACGAGAACUUAGUUGUAAGGUAGGAACUGCAUAACAACUGGAUAGUCAUCGGCUUGCGAGGUGGUGCCCGUCAAGCUGCUUGAGUCUUUCUCAAGCUGCUUGAAUCUUUGGGCUUUGAUGUAACGGGAUGUCACACAUGAUACUUCCUCAAAUUGUAGGCGUUCCAUAUUUUUUUAGCCUUCUUUGUAGGCAGUGAUGAAGGUUUUUCUUAAGACUAGAUCUUC
rnacentral:lncRNA from 1 species